AAGUCGUAACAAGGUUUCCGUAGGUGAACCUGCGGAAGGAUCAUUACAAGAAACGAGGCUACGUGCCCCGCUCUUUACCUUACCUACUGCACUAUCUAUUACUUCCUGGCGGCGGUUUACCUGCCGCCAGGGACAUUAUAAAGCCCUAUAUAAGCAUUAAAAAACUAAAACAAACCGAAUCGUACAACUUUCAACAAUGGAUCUCUUGGUUCUG
rnacentral:misc_RNA from 1 species